UCUAGAGGUCUGUCCAAAAUGUGAAUCUUUUGAGGUUCAGAAAAGGAUGAUUAAUUCAUUUUUCAUGCUAAUACAUUAAUUGGUUCCAGGCAGACUGGGAGCAGCAGAGCCAAGGUAUUGCAUGAAGGCUGCAGUCCAGUUUUUCUCCAUGAUGUGCUGUUAGGAGAGGUGAGAUAUCCAGAAAAAAUUAGAAGUAGCAUGAAAAAAAGAAGCAGCUGACCAUAAACUACUUAGAAAGGUCUGAUAUACUGAUUAUAAGAAUAAAGUUCAUCUGAGGUAACGGAGUUUAUUCUUUUCUCAGGCAUCCAGCCUGGAUCUCAGCUGCAAAGAUCAGAAAUUCCAGAUGUUUUCUAAGUCUCUUUCUGUCAACAACUGAGUGAUCUGAGGAUACUGGCAUCUUUGUGUGCAAACUAUUUAUGAAGAUAAGAGGCUGUUUUGAGAGUUCAGUCAAGGCUACGUCAAUGACUGAGGUGAAUGCUACUAGGUCUUCAGGUAAACAGGUGGUAAUCCUGAGAAAUUUGACCUUUACUGUCAUGUAUUGAGCAUUCAUGUGGAGCUCUUUUCAAUUUCAUGAGACCCUGUGCCAUCUCAGAAGUAUCUGUGCAUAGUGUGGCACAUGACAGUGCUCUUUCAAUUAUUCUAUUGGUUAUGAAGAACUUUCAUUUCCUCUCUGUGGUAAAUAUGCAGCCUUCCUCUCUGCUCCUAUGGUAUCAAUAUGCAUAUGUGCAAUUGCUGUAAAAUAAAAGGUAGGGCACUUAAAAGUAGGAUUUCUUCAGAAUAUGCAUGUGUCCCCUACUUUUUCUCCCUGCAGUGGACAUAAAGGAAGACAGAGAAUAAUUUUUUCUUCUAGAGAAAGGAAUGGGAGAGAAACUACCAUAGAAGGAAAAAUUAAAUGGUCAGAAGGCAGGUAUUUCCCCUGACAUCUUCUGUGACAUGAAUGAAUUUGUGCACUGCAUACAUGAAAAAAAGCUCCAUUUGCUGGUAA